rnacentral:lncRNA from 1 species
CGGGAUUCCGCGGCCACACCUUCCGGCUCCUCCUGCCUACCUGCCUCUCAUCUCUGGCUGUCUCCCUUUGCGCCAUCACCUCCCCGUGUGCCCCGCAAGACCCUACCCGCCUGCCCGCCUGCCUGCCUCCGCCGCCAUGUGCGGGUUCUGGCCUUAAAGACCCGCCGCCGCCCCCUCGGGGACCCCUCCCUCCCACCGUGGCCCCGCCCACGAGCCUCCCCCUCCCUCCCCCUUCCUCUCAGGCCCAGUCCGCCCCCCAGGCCCCGGUCUCCCCGCACCGGGUUCCCGCCCCGGCUGGUCCCGGUGGCCCCUCCGUCGAGCUCCUCCCUCCCCGAGGUCCCACCGCCUUCCCCUCGGGCCGGGCCCCGCCCCCCACCCCUCGCGCGCGCUCCCCGCCGCUCUGCGCCUGCGCGCAGCGGGCCGGCCGGCGGGAGUGGGGAGGAGGCGCGGGGAGGCGCAGGCGCAGGCGCGGCGGGGGCCCGGAGGGCGGACCAAUCAGAGAGCGCGGCCCCGCCUUCGGCCCCGCCCCCGGCCCCGCCCGUGGCCCCGCCCCCGCCCUCGCCCGCCGAACCCGGGAAAAUUCGUCGGCCAAUGACGAGAGGGAGGGAGGGAGGCGGCCGCGCGGGAGCCCGCCUUCGGCCUUUCGGCGCGCCGCCACGAAUCGGCCAAUGGGCCGGGGGCGGCCCGGUGACCCCGACCAAUCACCGGCGGCGAGGUGGGCGCGGCCUGGUAGCGCGCGCGGUUCGCAUCCCGGUCAGCGAAGGCGGGGCCGUGCCCUUGCCCGCCAGCGUCGGUAGCCCCGCCCCGGCCCGGCCCGGCCCGACCCGACCCCCGGCCCCCGGCUUCGGUCCCUGUCAAACGGCGGCCGGACCUCUCGGGGUCGCGGGGUUGGGGGGGAAAAGGGGGCGCCCGCCCCGCGGCUGCGGCGGUUCGGCCCGGCGCCCGGCCCGGAUCCGGGACGGGGGAGGGAGGAAGGAAGGAAGGAAGGAAGGGCGCCGCCUCUUCCCAGGUCUGCCUCGCUCGGGCUCCCCGGGAUUGCAUCGCACGGCGGGCCCGGAAUCGGGGGGCGCUCGGAGCUCCCGAGGGAGGGCUGGGGCCAGCGAGCGGCGGCGGCGGCGGCGGCGGCGGCGGCGGCGGUGGGGUUGGGGUAAUCCCAGGCUUGGAUUGCACGGUUAA